rnacentral:rRNA from 1 species
AACGAACGCUGGCGGCAUGCCUAACACAUGCAAGUCGAACGAGACCUUCGGGUUUAUUGGCGCUCGGGUGCGUAACGCGUGGGAACCUGCCCUUAGGUUCGGAAUAACUCCCUUAAAGGGGUCCUAAUACCGGAUAAUGUCUUCGGACCAAAGAUUUAUCGCCUUUGGAUGGGCCUGCGUUGGAUUAGCUAGUUGGUAGGGUAAAAGCCUACCAAGGCGACGAUUCAUAGCUGGUCUGAGAGGAUGAUCAGCCACACUGGGACUGAGACACGGCCCAGACUCCUACGGGAGGCAGCAGUGGGGAAUAUUGGACAAUGGGCGAAAGCCUGAUCCAGCAAUGCCGCGUGAGUGAUGAAGGCCUUAGGGUUGUAAAGCUCUUUUACCCGGGAUGAUAAUGACAGUACCGGGAGAAUAAGCGCCGGCUAACUCCGUG